rnacentral:rRNA from 1 species
AGACCCGAAACCCGGUGAUCUAGCCAUGGGCAGGUUGAAGGUUGGGUAACACUAACUGGAGGACCGAACCGACUAAUGUUGAAAAAUUAGCGGAUGACCUGUGGCUGGGGGUGAAAGGCCAAUCAAACCGGGAGAUAGCUGGUUCUCCCCGAAAGCUAUUUAGGUAGCGCCUCGUGAAUUCAUCUCCGGGGGUAGAGCACUGUUUCGGCUAGGGGGCCAUCCCGGCUUACCAACCCGAUGCAAACUGCGAAUACCGGAGAAUGUUAUCACGGGAGACACACGGCGGGUGCUAACGUCCGUCGUGAAGAGGGAAACAACCCAGACCGCCAGCUAAGGUCCCAAAGUCAUGGUUAAGUGGGAAACGAUGUGGGAAGGCCCAGACAGCCAGGAUGUUGGCUUAGAAGCAGCCAUCAUUUAAAGAAAGCGUAAUAGCUCACUGGUCGAGUCGGCCUGCGCGGAAGAUGUAACGGGGCUAAACCAUGCACCGAAGCUGCGGCAGCGACACUAUGUGUUGUUGGGUAGGGGAGCGUUCUGUAAGCCUGCGAAGGUGGCCUGUGAGGGUUGCUGGAGGUAUCAGAAGUGCGAAUGCUGACAUAAGUAACGAUAAAGCGGGUGAAAAGCCCGCUCGCCGGAAGACCAAGGGUUCCUGUCCAACGUUAAUCGGGGCAGGGUGAGUCGACCCCUAAGGCGAGGCCGAAAGGCGUAGUCGAUGGGAAACGGGUUAAUAUUCCCGUACUUGGUGUUACUGCGAAGGGGGGACGGAGAAGGCUAUGUUGGCCGGGCGACGGUUGUCCCGGUUUAAGCGUGUAGGUGUGUGUUCCAGGUAAAUCCGGUUCACUUUAACACUGAGGCGUGACGACGAGGCACUACGGUGCUGAAGCAACAAAUGCCCUGCUUCCAGGAAAAGCCUCUAAGCAUCAGGUAACAUCAAAUCGUACCCCAAACCGACACAGGUGGUCAGGUAGAGAAUACCAAGGCGCUUGAGAGAACUCGGGUGAAGGAACUAGGCAAAAUGGUGCCGUAACUUCGGGAGAAGGCACGCUGACACGUAGGUGAAGUGAUUUACUCACGGAGCUGAAGUCAGUCGAAGAUACCAGCUGGCUGCAACUGUUUAUUAAAAACACAGCACUGUGCAAACACGAAAGUGGACGUAUACGGUGUGACGCCUGCCCGGUGCCGGAAGGUUAAUUGAUGGGGUCAGCGCAAGCGAAGCUCCUGAUCGAAGCCCCGGUAAACGGCGGCCGUAACUAUAACGGUCCUAAGGUAGCGAAAUUCCUUGUCGGGUAAGUUCCGACCUGCACGAAUGGCGUAAUGAUGGCCAGGCUGUCUCCACCCGAGACUCAGUGAAAUUGAACUCGCUGUGAAGAUGCAGUGUACCCGCGGCAAGACGGAAAGACCCCGUGAACCUUUACUAUAGCUUGACACUGAACAUUGAGCCUUGAUGUGUAGGAUAGGUGGGAGGCUUUGAAGCGUGGACGCCAGUCUGCGUGGAGCCGACCUUGAAAUACCACCCUUUAAUGUUUGAUGUUCUAACGUGGACCCGUGAUCCGGGUUGCGGACAGUGUCUGGUGGGUAGUUUGACUGGGGCGGUCUCCUCCUAAAGAGUAACGGAGGAGCACGAAGGUUGGCUAAUCCUGGUCGGACAUCAGGAGGUUAGUGCAAUGGCAUAAGCCAGCUUGACUGCGAGCGUGACGGCGCGAGCAGGUGCGAAAGCAGGUCAUAGUGAUCCGGUGGUUCUGAAUGGAAGGGCCAUCGCUCAACGGAUAAAAGGUACUCCGGGGAUAACAGGCUGAUACCGCCCAAGAGUUCAUAUCGACGGCGGUGUUUGGCACCUCGAUGUCGGCUCAUCACAUCCUGGGGCUGAAGUAGGUCCCAAGGGUAUGGCUGUUCGCCAUUUAAAGUGGUACGCGAGCUGGGUUUAGAACGUCGUGAGACAGUUCGGUCCCUAUCUGCCGUGGGCGCUGGAGAACUGAGGGGGGCUGCUCCUAGUACGAGAGGACCGGAGUGGACGCAUCACUGGUGUUCGGGUUGUCAUGCCAAUGGCACUGCCCGGUAGCUAAAUGCGGAAGAGAUAAGUGCUGAAAGCAUCUAAGCACGAAACUUGCCCCGAGAUGAGUUCUCCCUGAGACUUUAGGUCUCCUGAAGGAACGUUGAAGACGACGACGUUGAUAGGCCGGGUGUGUAAGCGCAGCGAUGCGUUGAGCUAACCGGUACUAAUGAACCGUGAGGCUUAACCUUACAACGCCGAAG